AAUUAUUUUUCAAAAGUGAAGGAGAAAUAAAGACUUUCUCAGACAAACAAAAAAACGAGGGACUGUGUUGCCAAUAGAAGCUCUACAUAAAAAAGGGAAGAGUAAACUAGAAGGAAUAAGUGAAGUGGCCCCAAAGUACAGGAGUAGUGAUGCCAGCAAUUUGGAUAUGCCAAAGAGAAGCCAUAAAGCACUUCAAGGCAAAAGGUGAAAGUUCUCAACUUAGUGAGAGAAGAAAAAAACCCACAUGCUGAUGCUGCUAAACUCUAUGAUUUCUUUGCAAGCCAUCUCUGUGCAGAAGUGGCCUUCACUCAGGAGAAAGUACUGCAUGGAACUGAUGUUCCUCAGUUUCUGAGCUAAUGUUCUGAUGUACUCUAAGUCUUGCUGCUACUGGACACAUAAGGGAAAUUUUUUAAAAGUGUAAAUCUGCAAGCACAGGGAGAACUGGAGAGAGACUACAGCAGACAAUGAAUGUUAAAUUCAUGAAGACAGAAAAUAGAUGGUGAAGUGGAAACUGGCUUAGAAGAGCAGAGAAACCUGAAAUCAAAGUGCCUAAUACCAAACUGAAGUAACUGAUUCUCUCCGAAGUGCCAGGAAAGGGCUCAGGUAUUGGAAGUACUGAAAAGGGCAGAGACGCAGAGUGAAAGUGACAACAGGAAAACCGCUUGAAAAGAGCCUUGGAGCCCUACCCUGAGAAGCCACCUAACUACUCUUAUCUCACCCUUAGGGAGAGGGGAGGUUUAUUCUCUGUGGUAAUUGAACCAGUGGGACCCCAGAUUUGAGGACUCCAGACACACAGAGGGAAAGAAUGAGGCACCAGCAUAAAAAAUAAGGGACUAAUUAGAAUUAGGCAUGAUGAACCUCCCAUCUCCACUCCUAUAACCCCUUCCAGGUCCCAGAACACAAGGAGUGAUUCUUAUUCUUCCCAAUCAAGACAACAGAGGAGCCUUCUAUGGAGACCCAGACAGGUGCCCCAACACAAAAGCUAUCUUAGUGCCCCACUGCCCUACAGAGAUGCCCACCUGUCCACCAAUUGCUUCAUCACACAAGAGCUUCCAAUCUGCUUUCCAGUGCCUUACUCUUAAAUAUGUCUGAAUGGAGAACCAAGCCUCACCAGACAUUUCAGGAAAGCCACAGACAAAAACGAAAGGUACAAACAAAAACACAAGAAAAAGAACUUGGGAGGCAGGCGAAGAAUGCAAGCAAUAGAAAAAAACUUGUUUUUUAAUUCUGAUCAAUAUCUUCCGAGAGACAAGAGAAGACUAACCCAGAUUUUUCCUUCCACAAAAGACUGGAUUUGAGAUACCUUAGAUAUCAUUCCAAGUUUUGCCACAAUCUGCUACUAUUUCUGCUUUGUUGGGAUUGAACAACAUGCCCAUACAAUCUUUAUUUUUAUAGAG